GGUUGUGGGUCAAUGGUAGAGCACUUGCCUAGCAUGUGUGAGGUACUGUGUUCGAAUCUCAGCACCA
rnacentral:tRNA from 1 species